rnacentral:misc_RNA from 1 species
AAAAAAAUUUAAAAAAAAAAACCUUAAAAAUCAAAAGGAAAACAUGACAACGUAGAGGGGAUUUAAACCCCAAAUCCCUUAUCUCAUAAUUCCUAAUCUGCGAACACAAGUAUUUGAGUCCCACUCGUUGACGUGGUUUGCACAUGGAGAAACAACCGGCCUUAGAGAACCAAGACAUGGUUUGAAGAGAUGAAUAAGAUGAUCGCUUGUGAAUCAACGAUUUGGUGGCCAAUCUUCUGCCUCCUGCGACUACAAGUCUACAACUAGUAAUCUCCUUGCCCCUCCUUCAACCACAACAGCAGCCAGCUCCCUCUAUUCUUCUUCCUCCUCAGACCUUGUCACAGAUGAAUGGUUUGCUUUAAUACCCAAAACCACCAUAUCCCUAUACCCCUAGACUGAAUGUCUCCUUCCACUACCACCAUUGAUCAUAAGAGUGGCGAUCUUGUUGAUGCCUAGAGGAGUACCAACACCAUAGACUUCAUGAAGAAUUGGGGUCAGAUUAUCGUUAUGGAAAGCAGAUAACAGAGGUGUCGGUAGUGCCAAGGCUGGUAGGGUAAGCUUCAGGGGAGGCAAUGGCAGAGAAGGAAGAGAAGCCGUAGGAGGAGCAGAGUGAUCAACUGGCAAUGGUUCCUGCCAUGGUUAAUUAGAUGGGUAAGUUCUUUCAUUCAACUUAUAGAUGGAUGAAUAUUUGGGUUGUUUGUGUUGUUUGCAUUGGAAUUUGGCUUGUUUGUGUCAUUUGGGCAAGACAAUAAUUGGAGAAAUUAUGGGUUGUUUCUGUCCUUAGUGCAGAUUAAAGAAGACGGGGAGGGAAAGAGAGAGGUUGGGUAGUUUGCAGAGAGAAAGAGAGAGAGAGAGA